GGCGAGGGCAGCCCCCCACACCCCACCCCACUCCGGGCUGUGCGCCUGGGGAAACGGAAGGAGCAGGCAGCGUCGCCUUUGCUCAAGACGCAGAUGCCACCGCAGACCUACUGUGAGGAGCCCUGUUCUUCCGUUUCCCGCCCCUACAUGGAUGGGAGGCCU